CUUUGCCUUUGGAGGGCCCAGAGAUUGCUUAGAUGGAUCCCACAUUUAGAGGACGCCCGGAGAGAGAAGAGGAGGGGGAGGGUGCUUUUAUUAGAUCACUCAGAUCGCCCGCCCUGAGAGGCUAGCUUUCCACUGCGCUGGACUUUCUGUCAGUUUGGGCAUUACAGAGGGAGGGGGGUUUGGGAGGUCAUGGAGAAGAAGCAGGGAAAUGUCCGGAUCCGUGGCCAGUCAAGGUGGGCCAUGAUCCUCCUUUAAGGCAAGCUCCAAAAUGGGCCUCGUGUGUCCAGUUCACAGCUCCGGGUUCAAGUGUCUUCUUCUUGGCCGAGAGAACAUUCUCCCUCCCCUGUGCCAUACAACCCCCCUCCCUUCCCCGCUUCCUCUUUCGGCUCUCCCUGCCUCGGCGGUGUCUCCUCUCCCGCCCAUCUCCCGGUGAGAGUCCUACCCGAGGGAGCCUCUCCUGGCAACAGGCUGGUCAUAGAGGGGGGCUUUUUUCAUUGGCCGAGGUGGCGGUGGCCCCACCCAUUCCUCUCCCCCCGUGGUCCAUCUCCUCCCCUCCCGACGGAGCGCCCCGUCUCCCCCUCCUCGCUCUCCCCGACGCCUCCUCUAGUCUUCCCGCCGCGCCUGCUCGGAGGAAGGUCCCGUCGGUCUUGCUUGCCUUGCGGGGGAGCGGGGACAGGCAUGGCAGCCGGCGGAGAAGCCUUUCUCUUGGCCCUCGGGGGGCUCCUGCUCGCCCUGCCCGCUGCCACGGGGGGGAAAGUCCCCAGCCAGACACGCCACCCCUCCUGCAUCGAGUGUGGGAAAGUCCCCGGGCCUGAUCCUUCCUCCAGAGAGACAAGGGGGAGGAAGAAAGCAAGGCCGGAGGGGCAGCCAAGACCUCCGCCGUACAUGAGAGACAAAGGCAUUUAUGAGAUCACGACUGAUGGGCUAGAUUUCGACUGGCAGGGAAUUCUAGUCCACUGUAUAUUUAGCUGGAGAUGGGCAGAUUCCUGCCUGUCCUUGUGAGAGAUUCCCUGUGGGUGAAGCGC
rnacentral:lncRNA from 1 species